rnacentral:tRNA from 1 species
CAGGGAGACAACAAAAUGUUUAAUAUUAUUUAUUUUGUCACCUUAGGUCGAUCGGUAUCUCACAUUCUUAAUUUAUUGAGGAUUUCAAGUCCUAAGUUUUUUCUAGGUCACACCCAUUACUUUUCCUGGGCCAUUAGCUCAGGUGGUUAGAGCGCACCCCUGAUAAGGGUGAGGUCCCUGGUUCAAGUCCAGGAUGGCCCAUAUCUCUAUGUUGGGGGUAUAGCUCAGUUGGUAGAGCGCCUGCUUUGCAAGCAGGAUGUCAGCGGUUCGAGUCCGCUUACCUCCACUGAUUACCACCUCUUCCAUAUCCGGUAGAAAGGAAAUUUUUUGAGUUGUGAUCAAAUUCUGAAAGAAUCUAGCUUCCUAAUGAAAUCAUUAAGAUGCUGGACUCAUUGAAUUAAUUUCAUUGUUUUCAGAGAACCUUGACAACUGCAUAGAUUAUUUUUAAAGACAAUAAGCAUCUUUAAUGAUGCAGAUUUAUUAUUUGUGCAAAUGCAUUAAUAACAAUUCUAUUAAGCUGAUGCUUCAAUAUUUGAAGUUAUU